AAAAUCAUAUGAAUAUUUAAAGUUAAUAUGUAUCUCUUUUAUUUAGAUCGGAGGAAAAAGCCAUCUUUGAUGGCGUGUUCAUCGCAAAUGAUGAUGAUGUCGCAAGAUUCGUGGACUAUGUCCAUACCUCAACCAGUCAUGUAAACUUGCACAACUUCUCUAUAUUUACCUAUAAAAACACCACGUCCUACAGAGGACUUAGUUUGAACAAGUUUGGAAUGUUAAACAUCUUCCAUGUUUUAGGUCUCUGGAAGAGGUGUCUGUGGAGGGCAAUGGUCAGCGGCGCGUGAAACUUCUCAGAAGUCCUCAGGAAAAACAGACGAGGAGGGCCUGGAACUCGCUGUAUGUCGUCAUGGGGUUCUCCUUCGUGCCCUCACUAUGUUCAGGGGGAGAUUUUUUUGCCUACCCCCUGUACCUCCAAAAGCAAAUGGCCUGUAAGCCAGUUAAAUUUUUUGCAAUGGAUGUGGCAUGCAAGUACUGGCCUUACCUCCAGAGAGUGACAGAGAAAUGCCCUGAGCUUGAGGAUCUCCUCACCAUGAGGCCAUUUCUUUCUGUUUUUCAUGCCAAAGCUCAUGAUUUCAAAUGUGAGGUAAAAUGGAGUGGAGCAUAUCAGGAGGGGGCUGGUUCGACUCUUGGGGAAGAGGUGGAGCAGUGCAACGCCUUCCUCUCGAGGAUUGCUGUUACGACAAAGCACAUGUCAAAAGCAGGACGCAUAGACAUGCUGACGAUCAUGGCCAUGCGCUGGAACCAACAAAAAGUUUGACAACUUGGCUUCUACCCUUGCCCGCCGAUAUCGGAAGGCCACAAUAGCCCUGCAAUGCCAGUUGCAUAACCUGGAGGCCAUGAAAACGGAAAUGGACGUCUCAGACAAUCAACUGGAGAGGUGGAUCAUUGAUAUCAAUGAGUGGGCAGAAGGUAGGAUAUACUGUUUUAUACUGUUUGAUAUGGUGCUUGAUGUAUCACUUCUGACUUAUUUUGGCUGCAAUUCCAAAGAGGCUCAUUGUAAUCGUAGUCAAAGAGCACAUACUCUGAUUGCUGAUGACGUGUGGACAAGAUUAUCCCUAUGGGGACAAUAAAGAACCUAACUAUACUCAACCUUAGCUACAAGUGUAGCCUCUCAGUUACAGAUAAAUAUGAAAAGAUUGUUGAGGCUUUAUUUUUGCUCAUACACCAGAAAUAAUAUUUUUUUUCAUGGAAUCAAGAAGCAUAUUUCUUAUCUCUUAAUUUCUUCCUCUCAGCAACAACAUCCCCAAAUGAUGCUGAUGUUGCCGCUGUUGCCAGCCGAAUUGAGGAGCUGGUGGCAAGUGUUAAGAGGAGGUCCCAGCGUCUUUACAAGGAUAGUGACGGAUGCAAAGGACGUGCCCGAAUCCGCCGAAAGAUCAGGGAGGAAAAAAAAAUCUUAAAUUCUGUAGUGGAAAAGUACAACACCUUGGUUCCUAAUGCAGAAAAAAACUGUCAUUGGACACCAUUCUAUCUGACGAGAUUGUUUGGCCAUGGCAGCUUACACACGGUGGUAUGUACACAAUUCCAUUGUCACAUAGUGGGACAAAAAUCUGUCAUGCCUCGAUUUUACACCUGAAAAUCUCUAAAUACUAAUCUCAAAUACAACCGACUUAUGUUUCAUCUAUGUAUUCCAGACUCUGUUGAUCUAAGGACAAAGAGGAAGGCGUUCGACAUUGUGAUGGCAGUAAGGAGACUUGAGGAGGAGAAGAGGAUUCUUAUUGCAGAGAUGAACAAGCAUUGGAAGUCUCUUUGCUCCCGUGCAGACACCCUGAAGCAGAUGUCAUCCAAGCUUUCUAAUGUGACAUCAGGUAUGUAUUUGUUAUACUUGGCAUACAUUACAAUAUUUCUGAAUGUUUUUAAUUAAUAAAGGCUCAAUAUGUUUUAACAUGUAAGGUGAGACUUGGGGCCUGCUUCAAGAUGGUAUCCGAGGUCUACAAAGCUUGACGAUGAAGAACAAGCGAGCAAGCAACAGCCUGGCAAAGCAUGCAAAGAAAUAUUAUGUUCAAGUUCUGACUGAAACAGAAAUUAACUUUGAUAGUGAUUCUGAGGAAUACCAUACCAGUAGUGACUCUGAGCAAGAUUAAACAUGGCCAGAGUCCUUUUUAUGCUGUUGUGUGCUGGGGAGGCAGCAUUAAAGAAGAGGGCCGCUGGGACAGGUUGUUAAGGAAAGCUGGCUCUGUGUUUGGCAUGGAGCUGGAGUUAAUUAUUUAACAAACUGAGGAUAAUUUGCAGUAGCAGUCUUCUGUCAUGCUCAACAUUGAGGAGGUCCUUUGUCCCCAGGGCAUACCAGCAACUCAAUGUCACAGAAAAGGUUAGGGGAGAAAUUGACUUUUCAGCAUGAGUCUCACCCUGCGCCAACCAUUACAUCGCUUUGUCUAUUGUCUAGUAUCCACUAUCCAUUUGACUGUCUUACAGGCUACAUUAGCCCCUCUACACAUUCUGAACUGUGGUUUCAACAUUUACCCCUGUUGGCUUGUAUAAUCUUUUUUUUCUUUUUUUAUAUAUAUUUAAGUUUCUGUUUUUUUCUAUCUAUUUUAACUUCUUUGUAUUGUUUUUUUGUUAAGCAAUACUAUUAUGCUCAGACUCUUUUUUUUCCAUAGUCAUAUUAAACAUGCACAGCUUUGCACUGAUUAAAUCCCUGCACUGUUUACUUUUGCACUACCACCACUGCAAAUCACUCUAUAGUUGCCCAUCAUGUAUCACAGGGUCAGUCCCUACCAGGCCUUUGUAAUCACUUGACAUGCUCUUCACUUUUUUUACAUUUGUGAUUUUUUUGUUAUGUGUCUGAGUUGUGUGUUGUUUUUGUGGUUGUAUAAGCUAAUAAAUGCCUAAAAUGUGGUGUGUCGUCUUAAGUAGCCUACUGUGUCUGUACUAGGGGGAAGAAGACAUUUCAUCAUGACAGUUUCCUCCAUCUCCUAGAGACAUCUUACAUGGAUACACAGA
ensembl:lncRNA